rnacentral:rRNA from 1 species
AACGAACGCUGGCGGCAUGCCUAACACAUGCAAGUCGAACGAGACCUUCGGGUCUAGUGGCGCACGGGUGCGUAACGCGUGGGAACCUGCCUUUAGGUUCGGAAUAACUCAGAGAAAUUUGAGCUAAUACCGGAUAAUGUCGUAAGACCAAAGAUUUAUCGCCCAAGGAUGAGCCCGCGUAAGAUUAGCUAGUUGGUGGGGUAAAAGCCUACCAAGGCGACGAUCGUUAGCUGGUCUGAGAGGACGAUCAGCCACACUGGGACUGAGACACGGCCCAGACUCCUACGGGAGGCAGCAGUGGGGGAAUAUUGGACAAUGGGGGCAACCCUGAUCCAGCCAUGCCGCGUGAGUGAUGAAGGCCUUCGGGUUGUAAAGCUCUUUUGGUCGGGGGACGGAUGAUGACGGUACCCGGCAGAAUAAGCCCCGGCUAACUUCGUGCCAGCAGCCGCGGUAAU